CCUACGGGUGGCAGCAGUGGGGAAUAUUGCACAAUGGGGGGAACCCUGAUGCAGCGACGCCGCGUGAGUGAAGAAGUAUUUCGGUAUGUAAAGCUCUAUCAGCAGGGAAGAUAAUGACGGUACCUGACUAAGAAGCCCCGGCUAACUACGUGCCAGCAGCCGCGGUAAUACGUAGGGGGCAAGCGUUAUCCGGAUUUACUGGGUGUAACGGGUGCGUAGGUGGCAGGGCAAGUCAGAUGUGAAAGCCCGGGGCCCAACCCCGGUACUGCAUUUGAAACUGUCCGGCUGGAGUGCAGGAGAGGUAAGCGGAAUUCCUAGUGUAGCGGUGAAAUGCGUAGAUAUUAGGAGGAACACCAGUGGCGAAGGCGGCUUACUGGACUGUAACUGACACUGAGGCACGAAAGCGUGGGGAGCAAACAGGAUUAGAUACCCCGGUAGUC
rnacentral:rRNA from 1 species